GACGAACGCUGGCGGCGUGCUUAACACAUGCAAGUCGAACGAAGAGCGAUGGAAGCUUGCUUCUAUCAAUCUUAGUGGCGAACGGGUGAGUAACGCGUAAUCAACCUGCCCUUCAGAGGGGGACAACAGUUGGAAACGACUGCUAAUACCGCAUACGAUCUAAUCUCGGCAUCGAGGAUAGAUGAAAGGUGGCCUCUACAUGUAAGCUAUCACUGAAGGAGGGGAUUGCGUCUGAUUAGCUAGUUGGAGGGGUAACGGCCCCCCAAGGCGAUGAUCAGUAGCCGGUCUGAGAGGAUGAACGGCCACAUUGGGACUGAGACACGGCCCCGACUCCUACGGGAGGCAGCAGUGGGGAAUCUUCCGCAAUGGACGAAAGUCUGACGGAGCAACGCCGCGUGAGCGAUGACGGCCUUCGGGUUGUAAAGCUCUGUUAAUCGGGACGAAAGGCCUUCUUGCGAAUAGUGAGAAGGAUUGACGGUACCGGAAUAGAAAGCCACGGCUAACUACGUG
rnacentral:rRNA from 1 species